CAUCCUUUUCUUUUCCCACUGCAUCACAUUAUUUGUUGAUUCUUUUACCUAUUUUUGAAAAUGAAAAGCAAUUGACGCAUUCUAAACUUUUCCUCAUAACUAUAUCUGCCUUUGAAGGACAGAAAGAUUUAGAGAGGAUUUACAUAGCAGUAAUUUAUUCUUUUUACAUCAUUUUUUUUUUUCACGCACACACACAGUGACUGUUAAGUGGUUUCACAAGCAC
rnacentral:lncRNA from 1 species